GGCCACGUCGCUUAGUUGGCUAGAGCAUUGGCUGUUCUUAAGCUUUCCCCUUGGUGGUGUGGUUUCGAUUCCCACCGUUGCCG
rnacentral:tRNA from 1 species